rnacentral:rRNA from 1 species
CGUCGCUAUUGGAGCGGCCGAUGUCAGAUUAGGUAGUUGGUGGGGUAAAGGCCUACCAAGCCUGCGAUCUGUAGCUGGUCUGAGAGGCGACCAGCCACACUGGGACUGAGACACGGCCCAGACUCCUACGGGAGGCAGCAGUGGGAAUUUUGGACAAUGGGGAAACCCUGAUCCAGCCAUGCCGCGUGCGGGAAGAAGGCCUUCGGGUUGUAAACCGCUUUUGUCAGGGAAGAAAAGGCGCAGUCUAAUACGUUGCGACAAUGACGGUACCUGAAGAAUAAGCACCGGCUAACUACGUGCCAGCAGCCGCGGUAAUACGUAGGGUGCAAGCGUUAAUCGGAAUUACUGGGCGUAAAGCGUGCGCAGGCGGUUAUGCAAGACAGAUGUGAAAUCCCCGAGCUCAACUUGGGAACGGCAUUUGUGACUGCAUGGCUUGAGUGCGGCAGAGGGGGAUGGAAUUCCGCGUGUAGCAGUGAAAUGCGUAGAUAUGCGGAGGAACACCGAUGGCG